rnacentral:pre_miRNA from 1 species
UAAUCUCAGCUGGCAACUGUGAGCAGUUCAUAAAUUCUCUCACAGUUGUAUCUGGGAUUAUG